CUCCAUUGACACUUGUUCCCUUACUACUCUUCAUGUGACCUGUGUGUCAGCUCUAUAGGACUUCCAGCAGCUUCAAGUUGGCUUCUCAACAAGAUGAUUCAGAAAAUGCUGCUGAGCUGUGGUGCACAAACAAGGACAUGAGGUCUUUUCUGCUGUGGCUAAUCCCUGGACACCUCACCACUCCUUUGGCUCCUUUAACCUCCCCGCAGGGUUAUUUCACUUCACUAAAAUUCCCUUUGUUAGGAUUACACCCUUUAUUGUGCUGUUUUCUAU